UACGUAGGGGGCUAGCGUUGUCCGGAAUCAUUGGGCGUAAAGAGCGUGUAGGCGGUCCGGUAAGUCCGCUGUGAAAGUCGGGGGCUCAACCCUCGAAUGCCGGUGAAUACUGUCGGGCUAGAGUGCGGAAGAGGCGAGUGGAAUUCCUGGUGUAGCGGUGAAAUGCGCAGAUAUCAGGAGGAACACCUAUUGCGAAGGCAGCUCGCUGGGACGUAACUGACGCUGGAGACGCGAAAGCGUGGGGAGCAAACAGG
rnacentral:rRNA from 1 species